GAUGAACGCUGGCGGCGUGCUUAACACAUGCAAGUCGAACGGAAAGGCCCAAGCUUGCUUGGGUACUCGAGUGGCGAACGGGUGAGUAACACGUGGGUGAUCUACCCUGCACUUCGGGAUAAGCCUGGGAAACUGGGUCUAAUACCGGAUAGGACGAUGGUUUGGAUGCCAUUGUGGAAAGUUUUUUCGGUGUGGGAUGAGCUCGCGGCCUAUCAGCUUGUUGGUGGGGUAAUGGCCUACCAAGGCGUCGACGGGUAGCCGGCCUGAGAGGGUGUACGGCCACAUUGGGACUGAGAUACGGCCCAGACUCCUACGGGAGGCAGCAAUGGGGAAUAUUGCACAAUGGGCGCAAGCCUGAUGCAGCGACGCCGCGUGGGGGAUGACGGCCUUCGGGUUGUAAACUCCUUUCGCUAGGGACGAAGCGUUUUUGUGACGGUACCUGGAGAAGAAGCACCGGCUAACUACGUG
rnacentral:rRNA from 1 species